rnacentral:rRNA from 1 species
UGGGGAAUAUUGCACAAUGGGCGCAAGCCUGAUGCAGCCAUGCCGCGUGUGUGAAGAAGGCCUUCGGGUUGUAAAGCACUUUCAGCGGGGAGGAAGGCGAUAAGGUUAAUAACCUUGUCGAUUGACGUCACCCGCAGAAGAAGCACCGGCUAACUCCGUGCCAGCAGCCGCGGUAAUACGGAGGGUGCAAGCGUUAAUCGGAAUUACUGGGCGUAAAGCGCACGCAGGCGGUCUGUCAAGUCGGAUGUGAAAUCCCCGGGCUCAACCUGGGAACUGCAUUCGAAACUGGCAGGCUAGAGUCUUGUAGAGGGAGGUAGAAUUCCAUGUGUAGCGGUGAAAUGCGUAGAGAUGUGGAGGAAUACCGGUGGCGAAGGCGGCCCCCUGGACAAAGACUGACGCUCAGGUGCGAAAGCGUGGGGAGCAAACAGG